CCUACGGGAGGCAGCAGUGGGGAAUAUUGCGCAAUGGGCGAAAGCCUGACGCAGCGACGCCGCGUGAGGGAUGAAGGUCUUCGGAUCGUAAACCUCUGUCAGCAGGGAAGAACGGUCACUGUGCUAAUCAGCAGUGAAUUGACGGUACCUGCAAAGGAAGCACCGGCUAACUCCGUGCCAGCAGCCGCGGUAAUACGGAGGGUGCGAGCGUUAUUCGGAUUUACUGGGCGUAAAGCGCUCGUAGGCGGUAUGUCAAGUCAAGUGUGAAAUCCCCGCGCUCAACGUGGGAACUGCCUUUGAAACUGGCAAACUUGAGUGUAGGAGAGGAUAGUGGAAUUCCAGGUGUAGCGGUGAAAUGCGUAGAUAUCUGGAGGAACAUCAGUGGCGAAGGCGACUCUCUGGCCCAUAACUGACGCUGAGGAGCGAAAGCGUGGGUAGCAAACAGGAUUAGAUACCCCAGUAGUC
rnacentral:rRNA from 1 species